UACGAAGGGGGCUAGCGUUGUUCGGAAUCACUGGGCGUAAAGGGCGCGUAGGCGGCUGUUCAAGUCGGGGGUGAAAUCCCGUGGCUCAACCACGGAAUGGCCUUCGAUACUGGACGGCUAGAGACCGGAAGAGGUGAGUGGAACUGCGAGUGUAGAGGUGAAAUUCGUAGAUAUUCGCAAGAACACCAGUGGCGAAGGCGGCUCACUGGCCCGGUACUGACGCUGAGGUGCGAAAGCGUGGGGAGCAAACAGG
rnacentral:rRNA from 1 species